GCGAGCUUCAAUUAACGGCCACCCCGCACGGGCUUACAGAAGUCGGGGCUGUCGCUGAAAAGAGGCCUGCUGUGUUCACAGCCGUAUUUGGGAAAAGCAACAAGCACGUGCUUUCCUGUCUCGGCUACUCGUUCAGCAGUACGCAACAAAAGUGUCC
rnacentral:lncRNA from 1 species